rnacentral:rRNA from 1 species
UACGUAGGUGGCAAACGUUAUCCGGAAUUACUGGGUGUAAAGCGUUCGUAGGUUUUUUAGUAGGUCUCUGAUUAAAUACGUAAGCAUAACUUACGUCAGGUUGGAGAAACCACUAGAAUAGAAGGGUAUCGAGGUAAGUGGAAUUUGCGGUGUAGCAGUGAAAUGCGUUGAUAUCGCAAGGAACACCAAUGGCGAAGGCAGCUUACUAGGUAUCACUUGACGCUGAGGAACGAAAGCGUGGGGAGCAAACGGG